rnacentral:rRNA from 1 species
GACGAACGCUGGCGGCGCGCCUAACACAUGCAAGUCGAACGAGCGAGAGAGAGCUUGCUUUCUCGAGCGAGUGGCGAACGGGUGAGUAACGCGUGAGGAACCUGCCUCAAAGAGGGGGACAACAGUUGGAAACGACUGCUAAUACCGCAUAAGCCCACGGCUCGGCAUCGAGCAGAGGGAAAAGGAGCAAUCCGCUUUGAGAUGGCCUCGCGUCCGAUUAGCUAGUUGGUGAGGUAACGGCCCACCAAGGCAACGAUCGGUAGCCGGACUGAGAGGUUGAACGGCCACAUUGGGACUGAGACACGGCCCAGACUCCUACGGGAGGCAGCAGUGGGGAAUAUUGCACAAUGGGGGAAACCCUGAUGCAGCGACGCCGCGUGGAGGAAGAAGGUCUUCGGAUUGUAAACUCCUGUUGUUGGGGAAGAUAAUGACGGUACCCAACAAGGAAGUGACGGCUAACUACGUGCCAGCAGCCGCGGUAAAACGUAGGUCACAAGCGUUGUCCGGAAUUACUGGGUGUAAAGGGAGCGCAGGCGGGAAGACAAGUUGGAAGUGAAAUCUAUGGGCUCAACCCAUAAACUGCUUUCAAAACUGUUUUUCUUGAGUAGUGCAGAGGUAGGCGGAAUUCCCGGUGUAGCGGUGGAAUGCGUAGAUAUCGGGAGGAACACCAGUGGCGAAGGCGGCCUACUGGGCACCAACUGACGCUGAGGCUCGAAAGUGUGGGUAGCAAACAGGAUUAGAUACCCUGGUAGUCCACACCGUAAACGAUGAUUACUAGGUGUUGGAGGAUUGACCCCUUCAGUGCCGCAGUUAACACAAUAAGUAAUCCACCUGGGGAGUACGACCGCAAGGUUGAAACUCAAAGGAAUUGACGGGGGCCCGCACAAGCAGUGGAGUAUGUGGUUUAAUUCGACGCAACGCGAAGAACCUUACCAAGUCUUGACAUCCCUUGACAGGCAUAGAAAUAUGUUUUCUCUUCGGAGCAAGGAGACAGGUGGUGCAUGGUUGUCGUCAGCUCGUGUCGUGAGAUGUUGGGUUAAGUCCCGCAACGAGCGCAACCCUUAUGGUCAGUUACUACGCAAGAGGACUCUGGCCAGACUGCCGUUGACAAAACGGAGGAAGGUGGGGAUGACGUCAAAUCAUCAUGCCCUUUAUGACUUGGGCUACACACGUACUACAAUGGCGUUAAACAAAGAGAAGCAAGACCGCGAGGUGGAGCAAAACUCAGAAACAACGUCCCAGUUCGGACUGCAGGCUGCAACUCGCCUGCACGAAGUCGGAAUUGCUAGUAAUCGUGGAUCAGCAUGCCACGGUGAAUACGUUCCCGGGCCU